rnacentral:lncRNA from 10 species
UGCUUUGUGAGUCUGGACUGUGUUUCUGUAUCUAUAAAUUGAGGUUUCAGAUAUUUAUUCAGCAAUAUUAAUAAUCUCUGCCUGGAUUGCAUUCCAGAGAGAGCUUUCCUGGCCACUCAAAACAAGUCCCCUAACUCUCUCUCCCCUUUCCCUGCCUUAUUUUUUCCACAAUACCUGCCAAUAUCUGAAAACAUUGUCUGUAGGUGUACAUGUGUGUGUUGCAUUUAUUGCCUGCUAGAGCAUAAACCCCAUAAAAGCAGAGGUUUUUUUCUGUCUUAUUCACUGCAAAACCUCUGGCACCUGGAAUGGUGUGUGCUACAUAGAAAGUGCUAAAUAUGUAUUUAUGAACGAAGGAAUGAUUGAUUGAUUGAUUCUGGGGACUCAACAAUAUGUAGAAAUGUGCUUUGCAAACCACAAAGGGCAAAGCAAAUGAAAGGUGUUCAGCUAUUAUUAUAAAUCUGCUGCACACUUUAGCAUAGUUUUAACUCCUCCCACAGCAUUUUCCAAGGAAACGUCGGUGAAAUCUUUUUUUUCUAUUUGGGUUUUCUUCAAAAAGAAGAAUUCUGACAACCUAAUUUAAGAGACUUCCUAGGUGUGGAACUCAGUGAUGGAUCCUCAUCUCUUAGCAACCUCACAUAGGAGCUGCUCACCAGGUAAAUGGGGUGACAAUUUCAAGUGGGUGUGCUCAGUGUCAGGGAUGAGACAUGUGAUAGGAGGAAGGAUGAGACCUUCCCCAGCCGGUGGAGGGGAACAAACCUAAAGCAGGAGUCGGGACCCUGGUAUUGUAGUCCUGGGCAAGCCAUUCCCCUUUGAGCCUCCUUUCCUCCAUACAGUGAAGGGGCUUGGCAAGAUCCCUUCCAGCUCUAGCAUUCUAUGAUUGGCAUUUCCAGUUAGGCACUUCGAUAAAAACGAUCAUUUAUUGGGCAAGUCCCUGUGUGAAGCACUUUAUUUGUAAUAUUCCAUCUAAUCCUAAUUUUAAAUCUGUAAGAUAGGAUUAUAAUUAUCCCCAUUUUCUGGAUGAGGAAACUGAGGCAUAGAGAAGAUAAGGUCACUGUUCACAUGGGCUGCCAUAACAAAAUACCAUAAAUUGGGUGGCUUAAACAACAGACAUUUAUUUUUCACAGUUUUGGAGGUUGGAAGUCCAAGAUCAAGGUGCCAGCCAAUUGGGUUCCCACUGAAGACCUUCUCCCCAGCUUGCAGAUGGCCUUUCUCUCUUCCUCUUCUUAUGAAACCACUAAUACCAUCAUGAGUGUCUCACCCUCAUGACCUAAUCUAACCCUAAUUACUUUCCAAUAGGCUAGUGUCCAAAUACCAUCACAGUGGGGGUUAAUUCAACAAUGAAUUUUGUGAAGAUGCAAUCAUUCUGUCUGUAACUAUUGCAUAGCUAGCAAGUGAUAGAACCAAAACUUAACUGUGAUCAGUAGCUGGAAUUUUGACUCUGAGGCAUCUUGUAUGAUCCCUGUGUUUUGGUAUGGGAUACCAAUGAAGGAGAUUCUGCUGUGUUGGAAAAGUUCUUUGGGAGGCAACCGGUGUUUGCUAUGAGUGCCACCUCCAUACAGUUGGGCACCAUGGCAGU